rnacentral:tRNA from 2 species
GAUGCCAAGACGGCUGCCAACACGCACCCAAGAACA